rnacentral:rRNA from 1 species
AUUGAACGCUGGCGGCAGGCUUAACACAUGCAAGUCGAGCGGAGAUGAGGUGCUUGCACCUUAUCUUAGCGGCGGACGGGUGAGUAAUGCUUAGGAAUCUGCCUAUUAGUGGGGGACAACAUUCCGAAAGGAAUGCUAAUACCGCAUACGCCCUAUGGGGGAAAGCAGGGGAUCUUCGGACCUUGCGCUAAUAGAUGAGCCUAAGUCGGAUUAGCUAGUUGGUGGGGUAAAGGCCUACCAAGGCGACGAUCUGUAGCGGGUCUGAGAGGAUGAUCCGCCACACUGGGACUGAGACACGGCCCAGACUCCUACGGGAGGCAGCAGUGGGGAAUAUUGGACAAUGGGCGGAAGCCUGAUCCAGCCAUGCCGCGUGUGUGAAGAAGGCCUUUUGGUUGUAAAGCACUUUAAGCGAGGAGGAGGCUACCUGGAUUAAUACUCUAGGAUAGUGGACGUUACUCGCGGAAUAAGCACCGGCUAACUCUGUGCCAGCCGCCGCAGUAAAAC